rfam:TPA: Bos taurus chromosome 1, whole genome shotgun sequence.
UUAUAAAUAUAAGUAUAUCCCAUGCAAUAUUUGGGACAUGUUUAUAUUAAAA